CGCCCGCGCAUGCGCUGUCCAGGGCCGACGCGGUUGUAUCAUGCUGAGAAGGAGCCGGGCGGGGGCCGGCGGGGCUGCGAGGGCCCUGUGAGGAGGGGCACCUGCCACUAGAAGCGGCCUCUGGGACGUCGCGCUGAGCCCUGCUUUGGAGUCAGAGGGGCUUUCCGCCUCGGUGAACUCGAGAGUAGCAACUCUCCUCCGGGUAACCGGAGUGCCACAGCGGGCAGGCGUCAUAAGGACAGGCCUCGGAGAGGAGAGGGGCUACCCGAGAAUGGCCUCAAAAGUAUGCAUAGGAGUUGGGAAGGCAGAGGAACAAGUGUAUUCAGAGACGCAAGGAUUGUCUGCCGUGGUGGCUUCUCACACAAGCCUGUACUUUCCUGUGGGAGAAUAUUUCCUAGGAGCCUAUAUUCCAGUUCAUCUCUGACGUCAUAAAUCAUGACUGUGUAGAAAGGCCAUAACAUGUGACACAUGGCAGCCAUUUUGGAGAUGGCCAGAUGAGAGGACAAUCAAUCCACAUGCCUAAAUGGAACCAACAGACAUGUGCCAGCUUGCUUCUCCAGCCUAUGUUCUCAGACACUUGUAGAAGACCAGAGGGAAAAUGGAAUCAGAAAAAACAGCAACAACAACAAAAAGCCAUCCAGGGCCAUGCACAGUGGCUCACUCCUGUAAUCCCAACAGUUUGGGAGGCCAAGGCAGGUGGAUUGCUUGAGCUCAGCAGUUUAAGACCAGCCUGGGCAACAUGGCGAAACCCUUUCUCUACUAAAUACAAAAACUAGCUGGGUGUGGUGGCAUGCACCUGUAGUCCCAGCUACUCGGGAGGCUGAGGUGGGAGGAUCACCUGAGCCUGGGAGGUUGAAGCUGCAGUGAGCUGUGAUGGUGCCACUGCACUCCCACCUGGGUGACAGAGCAAGACCCUGUCUCAAAAAAACAAAACUAAACAAAAAAAUCCAUGUGGGAAAAGGCCCAAUCAGAGCCAACUCACUGCUGGGAUUAGUAGAAAUGAUUAGUCACCAGAAGGCAAAUCGUGGAAGAAUGAAGAGAUGACAGGACCUCAGGAACUACACCCAGAGGUGUAGUUGUGCCGUAGGCAAAGCAUCAUGCCGGUCAUCCCCAAGAAAGGGAGAAGGGGUAGAGCUCAGACUCUUCCCUGCUUCCCCAUAAGUCCAGUUUACCCUGGGCUGAUCCUUUCAGCAUGGCAGCCUCCGUGGGGAGGCACGAGAUCCAAAGAUGAAGAUGUCUAUGGGGGUGAAGAAGAAUGGCAAACUUUGCAGGCAAGAGUAGGCAUUAGAGAGAUCAGAGGAGGAAGACAAUAGAGAAGGAUGACACAGGACAGGCUGUAUCUAGAGGAUAUAAUGCCAUGGACUUUGGACUAUUCCAGAGAGGCUGAGAGACCUGUCUCCUGCCUACAAGGCUCCUUGAACUCUGCACCCUUCUUUUUGCUAAAGUGCUGCUGAGGCCUGUCUCACUUCCCAAUGAAAAGCAACUCAGGAAAUUGGCUUCCUGCCCCACUCCUUCUUUGGGAGAGAGAAACAGAACUGAAGAGGAAGGAAGGAAGCCCAAAGAAACAGAGGCUUUCUUUCCUGGCUGAGAUUUGUUGGCACUGCCCACUAACAUAGAGAAUAAGGUGGUUCCCUAAGCGAGCCUUAAGCUGGCAUGAGGCUACAAACAAGUGAUUGUAUCUUCGUUCUGCUCAGCAGCCUACCUGGGCUGGCCUGGACAACCUCAAUUGUAUACUGAGGUCUUAAGCUGGCCAUGGCCCUUGGUAAAGCAGGAGAAAGGAAUAAGGCUGGAAGGUACAGAAUUUGCUUGAUGCCUUGCCUACAUAAUUCCUUUGCUGUUGCAACUGGCAACUCUUUGCUUGCAUUAUAUGAAAAAAAGGCGGUAAAAAAUUGUCAGAAAUGUUUGCCACCAGCCUAACCCCACUGCCCAUGCAUUGCUCCCAAGAAAGCUAAUUAAGGCCCAUUGCUAUUAGAGUUACAUGAUUCUGAAGGCUUGUUAUGACAAGAAAAAAUAAUGAAGACAUGGUUCCUCCAAGUCAUAAGCAUCCAAGUCAAAACAUACUGCAUCCCAGGCGAGUGUGGUGGCUCACGCCUGUAAUCCCAGCACUUCGGGAGGCCAAGGCAGCCGGAUCACGAGGUCAGGAGUUCGAGACCAGCCUUGCCAAGAUGAUGAAACCCCGUCUCUACUAAAAAUACAAAAAUUAGCCAGGCAUGGUGGCGGGCGCCUGUACUCCCAGCUACUCAGGAAGCUGAGGCAGGAGAAUCGCUUGAAACCGGGAGGCGGAGGUUGCAAUGAGCCGAGAUCACACCACUGCACUGUACCCUGGGCGUCAGAGCAAGACUCCAUCUCAAAAAAAAAAGAAAAAAACAUCCUGCAUCCCUUGUUCCUUUGUGUUCCCCUAGACAAGCCUCUGGGCUGGCUUUGCCUAUCUCAUGCAUGCAGGCAGUCAUCCUCCUUUGGCCAGUGCAUACCUGACUCCUACUCAGUGCCAGGCCUGGAGAAGACUGUGAGACCUGCCCUUGAGGAGUUCUGUUUGCAGGAAGAGAGUGAUAGGCACACAAAUUAUUUCCAAUAAACUACAGAAAAUGUCACCAGAAUCUCUAUUGUGAUCAUGUCCCCCACCCAUGUCUGUUUCAUAGAUUGGGGGAGAACAGGCCCGGGUGGAAAGUCAUGCACUUAUGCCCUCUCCUGACCAGCCCACAUGUCCUACCCCAGCCAACAGUGGUUCAGGCAUGACUCUGACUGCUCAUGGGAAAGAGCAGCUUGCUCA
rnacentral:lncRNA from 1 species